AUACGUAGGGUGCGAGCGUUAUCCGGAAUUAUUGGGCGUAAAGAGUACGUAGGUGGUUUUGUAAGCGUGAGGUGAAAGCCCGGGGCUUAACUCCGGCGAGCCUCACGAACUGCCAGACUUGAGGGCAGGAGGGGGAAGUGGGAUUCCUAGUGUAGCGGUGAAAUGCGUAGAUAUUAGGAGGAACACCGGUGGCGAAGGCGACUUUCUGGACUGUAACUGACACUGAGGUACGAAAGCGUGGGGAGCAAACAGGAUUAGAUACCCUGGUAGUCCACGCCGCAAACGAUGAGCACUAGUUGUUGGGACCGAGAGGUUUCGGUGACGCAGUUAACGCAAUAAGUGCUCCGCCUGGGGAGUACGCACGCAAGUGUGAAACUCAAAGGAAUUGACGGGG
rnacentral:rRNA from 1 species